CAGGAGCCGUGGCUCCAGGAGCGGUACGAGGGCGAGAAGUGGUACAGCAACGCCCCGACCAUUGCUUGCACGCCCUGCGAGGUGAAGGAGACGAGUGCGUCCGUCUGAGAGCGGCGCAGCGAGCCUUGCUUGACACCUAUUCAGGCUCGAAAGAGAGC
rnacentral:SRP_RNA from 1 species